CCUACGGGGUGCAGCAGUGGGGAAUAUUGGACAAUGGGCGAAAGCCUGAUCCAGCCAUGCCGCGUGUGUGAAGAAGGCCUUCGGGUUGUAAAGCACUUUCAGUGGGGAAGAAAGCCUUGGGGCUAAUACCCUCGAGGAAGGACAUCACCCACAGAAGAAGCACCGGCUAACUCCGUGCCAGCAGCCGCGGUAACACGGAGGGUGCGAGCGUUAAUCGGAAUUACUGGGCGUAAAGCGCGCGUAGGCGGUCUGAUAAGCCGGUUGUGAAAGCCCCGGGCUCAACCUGGGAACGGCAUCCGGAACUGUCAGGCUAGAGUGCAGGAGAGGAAGGUAGAAUUCCCGGUGUAGCGGUGAAAUGCGUAGAGAUCGGGAGGAAUACCAGUGGCGAAGGCGGCCUUCUGGACUGACACUGACGCUGAGGUGCGAAAGCGUGGGUAGCAAACAGGAUUAGAUACCCUAGUAGUC
rnacentral:rRNA from 1 species